rnacentral:rRNA from 1 species
UGGGGAAUAUUGGACAAUGGGCGCAAGCCUGAUCCAGCCAUGCCGCGUGUGUGAAGAAGGCCUUAUGGUUGUAAAGCACUUUAAGCGAGGAGGAGGCUACUUUAGUUAAUACCUAGAGAUAGUGGACGUUACUCGCAGAAUAAGCACCGGCUAACUCUGUGCCAGCAGCCGCGGUAAUACAGAGGGUGCAAGCGUUAAUCGGAUUUACUGGGCGUAAAGCGCGCGUAGGCGGCUAAUUAAGUCAAAUGUGAAAUCCCCGAGCUUAACUUGGGAAUUGCAUCCAAAACUGGCGAGCUAGAGUAGGGCAGAGGGUGGUGGAAUUUCCUGUGUAGCGGUGAAAUGCGUAGAUAUAGGAAGGAACACCAGUGGCGAAGGCGACCACCUGGGCUCAUACUGACACUGAGGUGCGAAAGCGUGGGGAGCAAACAGG